CCUACCAAGGCGAUGAUGCAUAGCCCGAGUUGAGAGACUGAUCGGCCACAUUGGGACUGAGACACGGCCCAAACUCCUACGGGAGGCAGCAGUAGGGAAUCUUCCACAAUGGACGCAAGUCUGAUGGAGCAACGCCGCGUGAGUGAAGAAGGGUUUCGGCUACGUAAAGCUCUGUUGUUGGUGAAGAAGGACGAGGGGGUAGUAACUGACCUUUGUUUGACGGUAAUCAAUUAGAAAGUCACGGGCUAACUACGUGCCAGCAGCCGCGGUAAA
rnacentral:rRNA from 1 species